rnacentral:rRNA from 1 species
CCGGUUUAAGCGUGUAGGCUGGUUUUCCAGGCAAAUCCGGAAAAUCAAGGCUGAGGCGUGACGACGAGGCACUACGGUGCUGAAGCAACAAAUGCCCUGCUUCCAGGAAAAGCCUCUAAGCAUCAGGUAACAUCAAAUCGUACCCCAAACCGACACAGGUGGUCAGGUAGAGAAUACCAAGGCGCUUGAGAGAACUCGGGUGAAGGAACUAGGCAAAAUGGUGCCGUAACUUCGGGAGAAGGCACGCUGACACGUAGGUGAAGUGAUUUACUCAUGGAGCUGAAGUCAGUCGAAGAUACCAGCUGGCUGCAACUGUUUAUUAAAAACACAGCACUGUGCAAACACGAAAGUGGACGUAUACGGUGUGACGCCUGCCCGGUGCCGGAAGGUUAAUUGAUGGGGUCAGCGCAAGCGAAGCUCCUGAUCGAAGCCCCGGUAAACGGCGGCCGUAACUAUAACGGUCCUAAGGUAGCGAAAUUCCUUGUCGGGUAAGUUCCGACCUGCACGAAUGGCGUAAUGAUGGCCAGGCUGUCUCCACCCGAGACUCAGUGAAAUUGAACUCGCUGUGAAGAUGCAGUGUACCCGCGGCAAGACGGAAAGACCCCGUGAACCUUUACUAUAGCUUGACACUGAACAUUGAGCCUUGAUGUGUAGGAUAGGUGGGAGGCUUUGAAGUGUGGACGCCAGUCUGCAUGGAGCCGGCCUUGAAAUACCACCCUUUAAUGUUUGAUGUUCUAACGUGGACCCGUGAUCCGGGUUGCGGACAGUGUCUGGUGGGUAGUUUGACUGGGGCGGUCUCCUCCUAAAGAGUAACGGAGGAGCACGAAGGUUGGCUAAUCCUGGUCGGACAUCAGGAGGUUAGUGCAAUGGCAUAAGCCAGCUUGACUGCGAGCGUGACGGCGCGAGCAGGUGCGAAAGCAGGUCAUAGUGAUCCGGUGGUUCUGAAUGGAAGGGCCAUCGCUCAACGGAUAAAAGGUACUCCGGGGAUAACAGGCUGAUACCGCCCAAGAGUUCAUAUCGACGGCGGUGUUUGGCACCUCGAUGUCGGCUCAUCACAUCCUGGGGCUGAAGUAGGUCCCAAGGGUAUGGCUGUUCGCCAUUUAAAGUGGUACGCGAGCUGGGUUUAGAACGUCGUGAGACAGUUCGGUCCCUAUCUGCCGUGGGCGCUGGAGAACUGAGGGGGGCUGCUCCUAGUACGAGAGGACCGGAGUGGACGCAUCACUGGUGUUCGGGUUGUCAUGCCAAUGGCACUGCCCGGUAGCUAAAUGCGGAAGAGAUAAGUGCUGAAAGCAUCUAAGCACGAAACUUGCCCCGAGAUGAGUUCUCCCUGAGACUUUAGGUCUCCUGAAGGAACGUUGAAGACGACGACGUUGAUAGGCCGGGUGUGUAAGCGCAGCGAUGCGUUGAGCUAACCGGUACUAAUGAACCGUGAGGCUUAACCUUACA